GAGGCUGAAGAACAGAAAAAACACAGUAUUCAGUCAUGAUUGUGACUAGCCAAUGCCCACAAGAAAACUUACUCCUCAGUCAAUUGAACUAUUAACAUUCAGUGUUUAAGCUUUCGUGGGUCCAACACCCUUAUACAUUUUCCCUUCUAAUCUUUGCAGUAAGGUGGAGUGAAUUGUACCUAUGCCAGGAAGAGAGAAGAUCCACAAAGUCAUUUUCAUCCUGGCAAAUAGCAGACCAAGUAGCAGAAGGAGCUCCGUCACUUGGUCUUGGAAUACCAGGCCAUGCUUGCCUCUUCCAGCACACUCUGCUGUCCUCAGAAUAAACACUUAUUCCAUGCAAACCCACUAAACAUGGACAGCAGGUCGCAGCCUAUGUACACGGGUGGUUGUUUCAACGCUGAUACAAAAACAGGAUGCUUCUAAUUGGAUCCAGAACAGGGAGUGCCAUGAAGGCUGGCGACAACAGAUGAUCUUUGGGCUGGGUCUUGCAACACUGGUAGAUGGUCAGGAAAGGUGACAAACUGGUGAAGAAACUUUGCAACCUGGGGGAAAAUCUAGGGCAAAGGGUUCUGCAGGGGAAAACUGUGACCUGAAGAAACCCACCUGCAGGUCCACACAGCAGGCACUUAGGGCUCUUGAGGAGAAACCAGACAACCAGGAAAAUUGUCACCUCAAACCUUUGUGGACAUCAUAGUAUUUAGGAUUCCCACCCAUUUAAACCUGACCUGAGAAAUGCAUCUUGCUGAGUCCACCUUCCCAUUCAGAAAAAUUCUUCCCCACCCGCCUUGGCCAAUAGAAGUCUAAAGAAAUAACUCCUCUCUCUCUCUUUCUGAUCUUGAUUUCUAACACUUUAAAAUAUCCCCCUCCCAAAUAAGACACAGAAAGUGAUUUUGGCCAGGAGAUUGGUGACAAGAGUCAUGUGUGUGUACCCUGAGGACUGGGCCCGUAACCCUAAACUAAGCAAAUACUUCCUCUCGGGUUAAAUGACAGAUGAUCUUCCCUAGUGUCUAGACAACUCUAUGGUGUCAGAUUUCUUCUGCCGGUCACCAGAGUGACCUGGUCAGAGGAGGAGAGACUAGGGACAGAAGGAAGAAGAAGGACAGAGGAAGCCACCCUGAGGAGAGAUGGACCAUGAACACAUGGCCAGGAGAAACAGCGAGUAUCUGGGCACACCACUGGGGAGGUAGCCAGGCCAGCAGUUAAAUGAGGAGAUUAGGGGUGACCCCCCAGUGAUUGUCAAAGCCAAAUAAACUAACCAAAGUCCGAGUCUCAUUUAUUUGUAAGCUGGCCAGGGGUAAGCUUAAAGUGGUUGUACUAUUGUCAGGUUUCAGCCUCAACGUUUUACCUGUGGAGUUCUGCAUGUUGCAGUGGAGGACUGACAUAUAGGGGAUACCCCAAGUUAAAAUUUAAAAAGACUCACUGGUCUUUCUCCUUCUCCUUCUCAGGCAGCAGAAGGAAUCCUAUAGACCUCUUAGUUGGCACUGUGUUCGCUGUGACUGUUGGUACGUUCAUCAGUGGAAUAUGUAGGGUUUGUUUUAUUUUGUUUUAUUAAUACAUACCCAGGCUAGCCUCAGACUCACCACAUACCCGAGGAUCACCUCUACCAACCACAGCCUCGCCCCUCACGAUGACAUGUCUGGCAUUCCAUUUUAUUUCUUUCAUUAAACCUAUGUCUUAUGAUUGCUCUAUGCUCAUUGCUUGGUUUCUUUGCCCACUUUGUAAAUUUCUUUUUUUAGCAUCCCUGACUAUUUAACGUGUCAUGCCCAGCCCCUUACUGGCCACAGGUAAAGAUUUCCUCUAGAGCUGAGCACAAGCUUUGGAAUAAAACAAUCCUGCCUGGAAGCAAGCACACGGUGAAGAGUCCAUGACUGAGUAAAUGGGCAGAGUUCUCUACGCCUUGGCUAAGUCAACCACAAGAUGAAAACAGUGCCUCUCACUUUGCAGUUAGUGUCCCGAAAUGAGGUGAGGCAGAGAAUGGGGUUGUUCUCAGACUCAAACUUUUGUCUUCCCUCUACUCUUCCUUUUGCCCGAGUGUCAAACUUCUACCACACUUAGGUAGGCCUAGGUAGGCCAACUAUGUAUAUGUGUUGACAGUUUCACCCUCUGCCAAAUGGCUUCCUACAGGAAAAUAUGCCGCUGUUCUUACAGGCUUGACACAAUGAACUCCAGGCUCCUGCCCACAGCUAAGGGGAAUCUCUGUCAGAGGAGCUUGCCUGAGACUGGGAGAGGGCAGCAGAUGGCAUUUGAAGACAGAGUCUCCUAAAAGGGCUUUGACCAUGAUGGUGGCCUCUGCUGAUGCCCAGAGGCCAAAGUCUGUUUCCUUCCUGCUGUCCUCCUGGGUUCCCUCCCUCUUUUUUUUUUUUUAAUUGUUGUUGUUGUUGUCAUCAUUUUCAAGUCUGUUUUAUAAACCAUUUCAAGGAUAAAUGAAGGGCUGGUGAGAUGGCCCAGUGCCUGAAUGUAUAUGAAUCUUGAAGACAUAAACACACACACACACACUUAAGAAGAAAAGUAAAAAUUUUAAAACAAAAGAACAGAAAACAUCAAAAGCACCAAGAGCCACCGUAACUAUGAGAGAAACUGCAGCCCAGACACAGGUGAUCUACAUCCAGAGGGUUUUUCUUCAAGCUUUGUAGUGACUCUUUGUCUUGAAAUGGACUUUGGCAGGAUCCAAAAGUCGGCAAGCAUACUAUGCCACACAGUGGUGAAGAGACUUGAGCUCUAGCACCUGGAGCCCAGAUGGUGCUGGGAAGCUUGUAGCCCCAAGGCAACGCCUGUUAAGUGUUAAGAAUGUAACAUUUCCAGCUUGCAGCUAGACCACGAUGCCUGGCAAGUGUUAAAAUGUAACACUUCCCAAUAAAUUCCAGUCAUUCAAAGCCAAACUCACCUGUCCUUUUGAGAAAGGCGCUCCGAUAAUCUCUAAGGACUUUGGCUUGGAGCUCAUGCUCUCUCUGGGUUCCAGCGGCUGCUGCUGCUGCAUGUGCUCGGGCUGUCCAGCUCCUCUCCACCGGCCGUAACCCUAAAAGACAGAGGGCACAUCUUUUUCCCCCCUUAUAAUCAGGUUGGAUCUGUUUAUCCAACAACUGGCUCCGCCCACCGAAUGGAAGAAUGACAGAGUCAACAGAACCUCCCCAUCAGAGGAACUACCAUUCUUCCCUCUGAGCAUUAUUCAUCCGUCCAGUUCACACCCUUUUGAAAAAGCCAGCUGGAUGACAUUAAUCUCUCCUCAGACAAUUGACAAUUAUGUGUGAUUUCAUAACCUCAUGUGAAGUGCUAGGCUUCCGGCCUGGGCACCUCAGGGCAGGGUGCUCACCUUUUCCAGGAUUUAAGUCCACUGGGGACUUGCAAGUUUCCCCACCAGCACCAAAUGGACAGACUCCCCACGUUACCACUGAGCUAUCUCCAUCAGAUGCCAAGUUGCUGUUAUAAACGAUAUGCUGCUCCAUCUUCCAGUUUCCUCUAUGCCCUGGGCUCAUCACCUGUGGCUGCACCAAUCCAUGCAGCCUCAUUGGUAGGGCUUCCGGAGGACGUUAGAGCUUCAGGAAAGGAACUGGUGCUCCUCUUUUUCAAAAUCGCUUGACCUUACAUUUACUUCUGUCGGGGUCUCGCAAAUGUAGAGUGAGCCGGUGACUACGUUUUGAAAACAGUGCUACGGCCGUUACUAGCUUUAUACAUUCAUUCAUAGGUAUUUGCUGUUAAACUUUAUCACCAGGGCUUUUCCUGAAAGUCUUCCCUCGGGCAGUUUGAGGGUGACUUUUCAUCAUUGGCAUCAUUGGACUGACUGAUCAAAACGCCCUGAUUAAGUAAAACUCAUGAUUUCUUGACUAUCUGUUUUUCUUGGGUCUUUAUUGUUCUGGGUAUCUCCAUACACACGACGGUUCCAUGUAUGACACCGAUUUACCCUCACAGUCAGUCCUAUUAAAGUAUCGCCUGCCUCCCUGCGUUCUCCUUCAGGCGACCAUCCAGAACUCAGUGCACAAGUCCAGUUGUAGAUGCAGUCAUCUAAUUCAUCAAACAUAAGUAUCGUAUUGUUUGCCUGUUCUGGGUCAUUGAGGAAUCAAAGGACAAGGAAAUGCUUAACUAAGAUCUGUGUUAGCCCAGCACCCUCAACCCAAAGUGGCACAACUCACGUACAGACAGGACUGUUGGCUAAUACAGCCUGUUCAUAAGAAAGCAUAAGGAAGUCUGAACAAUGCCUCACUUCCUAACAAAGUAUAGUCUUGCCCUGCUGACAAAGCCUUCUGCUCUCUGACUUCCUUAUUGAAGAUGAGCUGGUCUCUCGUCGGCUACCACCCUCCGUGACCUUAUGCAGACAUAUGUGUAAACUGUAUUUCUUGCUUAAUUAAAAAACCCUUUACUCUG